rnacentral:rRNA from 1 species
AAUAUUUGACAAUGGGGGCAACCCUGAUCCAGCCAUGCCGCGUGUGUGAAGAAGGCCUUCGGGUCGUAAAGCUCUGUCCUAAGGGAAGAAACGGAUGGUACCUUAGGAGGAAGCCCCGGCUAACUACGUGCCAGCAGCCGCGGUAAUACGUAGGGGGCGAGCGUUAUCCGGAAUUACUGGGGGUAAAGGGUGCGUAGGCGGCCUUUUAAGUCAGAUGUGAAAGGCUACGGCUUAACCGUAGUUAGCAUUUGAAACUAAAAGGCUUGAGUGCAGGAGAGGAGAGUGGAAUUCCUAGUGUAGCGGUGAAAUGCGUAGAUAUUAGGAGGAACACCAGUGGCGAAGGCGACUCUCUGGACUGCAACUGACGCUGAGGAACGAAAGCGUGGGGAGCGAAU